rnacentral:rRNA from 1 species
AUUGAACGCUGGCGGCAGGCCUAACACAUGCAAGUCGAGCGGAUGAGUGGAGCUUGCUCCAUGAUUCAGCGGCGGACGGGUGAGUAAUGCCUAGGAAUCUGCCUGGUAGUGGGGGACAACGUUUCGAAAGGAACGCUAAUACCGCAUACGUCCUACGAGAGAAAGUGGGGGAUCUUCGGACCUCACACUAUCAGAUGAGCCUAGGUCGGAUUAGCUAGUUGGUGAGGUAAAGGCUCACCAAGGCGACGAUCCGUAACUGGUCUGAGAGGAUGAUCAGUCACACUGGAACUGAGACACGGUCCAGACUCCUACGGGAGGCAGCAGUGGGGAAUAUUGGACAAUGGGCGAAAGCCUGAUCCAGCCAUGCCGCGUGUGUGAAGAAGGUCUUCGGAUUGUAAAGCACUUUAAGUUGGGAGGAAGGGCAGUAAGUUAAUACCUUGCUGUUUUGACGUUACCAACAGAAUAAGCACCGGCUAACUUCGUGCCAGCAGCCGCCGUAAGAC